GUACCGUGAGGGAAAGAUGAAAAGAACUUUGAAAAGAGAGUUAAACAGUACGUGAAAUUGUUGAAAGGGAAACGAUUGAAGUCAGUCAUACCAACGGGAAAUCAACCUUUUGAGCUUGGUCUCGUGGGUUUUGAAGAGUUUCAAAGCCUUCGGAUUCGCGGGAUUGGGAUCUCUUGGUGUACUUUUUCGUACGGUUAGUCAACAUCGGUUUUGAAUGUCAUAAAAUGACUGGAGGAAUGUAGCUUCGAUCUCGUAUUGAAGUGUUAUAGCCUUUGGUAGAUGUGAUGUUUGAGACCGAGGAUUGCAACGGAUACCCUUCAGGGCUAUUCGUCUGAUCUCUGAUACGUUGCCCUGAUGUUGAAAGCUUGCUUAUGAUGUUAGGGUAUUACGGUCAAAAGGUUAGAACGAAUUACAUUCGUUAAGG
rnacentral:rRNA from 1 species